AAGUGCGCCACCCUGAACAAGCCCGAUCCUGUCUGAUCUCAGAAGCUAAGCAGGGUUGGGCAUGGUUAGUACUUGGAUGGUAGACCACCGAGGAAGACCAGGUGCUGCAGGUG
rnacentral:rRNA from 1 species